rnacentral:rRNA from 1 species
UGCAAGUCGAACGGAAAUUGAGCAUAGCUUGCUAAGCUCAAUUUUAGUGGCGGACGGGUUAGUAACACGUGAGAUACAUACCCUUUAGACAGGAAUAGCCCAUGGAAACGUGGAUUAAUGCCUGAUAGUCUCUACGGAGUAAAUGGCGCCUUCGGGUGUCGCUAAAGGAUUGGCUCGCGGCCUAUCAGUUAGUUGGUGAGGUAAAGGCUCACCAAGACUACGACGGGUAGCUGGUCUGAGAGGACGAUCAGCAACACUGGAACUGAGACACGGUCCAGACACCUACGGGUGGCAGCAGUCGAGAAUCAUUCACAAUGGACGCAAGUCUGAUGGUGCAACGCCGCGUGGAGGAUGACGGCCCUAGGGUUGUAAACUCCUGUCAUUGGGGAGUAAGACUUGGUUGUUAAUAGCCUCCAAGUUUGAUAGUACCCAAAGAGGAAGGGACGGCUAACUUCGUGCCAGCAGCCGCGGUAAUACGAAGGUCCCAAGCGUUGUUCGGAAUAACUGGGCGUAAAGCGUGUGUAGGCUGCGCGGAAAGUCAAAUGUGAAAGCCCAGGGCUUAACCCUGGAACUGCAUUCGAUACUCCCGUGCUAGAGUAAUGGAGAGGUAAGUGGAAUUCUCGGUGUAGCAGUGAAAUGCGUAGAUAUCGAGAGGAACAUCAAUGGCGAAGGCAACUUACUGGACAUUUACUGACGCUCAGACACGAAGGCUAGGGGAGCGAAAGGGAUUAGAUACCCCUGUAGUCCUAGCAGUAAACGGUGCUCGCUUGGUGUGGGAGGGUUCGACCCCUUCUGUGCCGGAGCUAACGCGUUAAGCGAGCCGCCUGGGAAGUACGGUCGCAAGACUAAAACUCAAAGAAAUUGACGGGGACCCGCACAAGCGGUGGAGUAUGUGGCUUAAUUCGAUGCAACGCGAA